rnacentral:rRNA from 1 species
UCCGGGGUGCGGACAGUGUCUGGUGGGUAGUUUGACUGGGGCGGUCUCCUCCCAAAGAGUAACGGAGGAGCACGAAGGUCAGCUAAUCACGGUCGGACAUCGUGAGGUUAGUGCAAUGGCAUAAGCUGGCUUGACUGCGAGAGUGACGGCUCGAGCAGGUGCGAAAGCAGGUCAUAGUGAUCCGGUGGUUCUGAAUGGAAGGGCCAUCGCUCAACGGAUAAAAGGUACUCCGGGGAUAACAGGCUGAUACCGCCCAAGAGUUCAUAUCGACGGCGGUGUUUGGCACCUCGAUGUCGGCUCAUCACAUCCUGGGGCUGAAGUAGGUCCCAAGGGUACGGCUGUUCGCCGUUUAAAGUGGUACGCGAGCUGGGUUUAGAACGUCGUGAGACAGUUCGGUCCCUAUCUGCCGUGGGCGCUGGAGAAUUGAGGGGGGUUGCUCCUAGUACGAGAGGACCGGAGUGAACGCACCACUGGUGUUCGGGUUGUCAUGCCAAUGGCACUGCCCGGUAGCUAAGUGCGGAAAAGAUAAGUGCUGAAAGCAUCUAAGCACGAAACUUGCCCCGAGAUGAGUUCUCCCUGACCCCUUGAGGGUCCUGAAGGGACGUUGAAGACGACGACGUUGAUAGGCCGGGUGUGUAAGCGCAGCGAUGCGUUGAGCUAACCGGUACUAAUGACCCGUGAGGCUUAACCUUACAACGCCAGAGGCGUUU